AAAUUGAAGAGUUUGAUCAUGGCUCAGGUUGAACGCUGGCGGCAGGCCUAACACAUGCAAGUCGAACGGUAACAGGAAGCAGCUUGCUGCUUCGCUGACGAGUGGCGGACGGGUGAGUAAUGUCUGGGAAACUGCCUGAUGGAGGGGGAUAACUACUGGAAACGGUAGCUAAUACCGCAUAACGUCGCAAGACCAAAGG
rnacentral:rRNA from 1 species